UACGUAGGGGGCAAGCGUUGUUCGGAAUUACUGGGCGUAAAGCGCACGUAGGCGGCUUUGUAAGUUAGAGGUGAAAGCCUGGGGCUCAACUCCAGAACUGCCUUUAAAACUGCAUCGCUUGAAUCCAGGAGAGGUGAGUGGAAUUCCGAGUGUAGAGGUGAAAUUCGUAGAUAUUCGGAAGAACACCAGUGGCGAAGGCGGCUCACUGGACUGGUAUUGACGCUGAGGUGCGAAAGCGUGGGGAGCAAACAGG
rnacentral:rRNA from 1 species